rnacentral:rRNA from 1 species
AUUGAACGCUGGCGGCACGCCUAACACAUGCAAGUCGAGCGGCAGCGCGAUAUGUAGCAAUACAUAUUGGCGGCGAGCGGCGGACGGGUGAGGAACACGUAGGAACCUACCCUCGAGUGGGGGAUAACCAAGGGAAACUUUGGCUAAUACCGCAUGAUUUCGAGAGAGCAAAGCUGCCGCAAGGUGGCGCUCGAGGAGGGGCCUGCGUCCGAUUAGCUAGUUGGGGAGGUAAGAGCUCACCAAGGCGAUGAUCGGUAACUGGUCUGAGAGGACGACAAGUCACACUGGGACUGAGACACGGCCCAGACUCCUACGGGAGACAGCAGUGGGGAAUAUUGGACAAUGGGGGCAACCCUGAUCCAGCGAUGCCGCGUGAGUGAAGAAGGCCUUCGGGUCGUAAAGCUCUUUAGGUUGGGAAGAAGAGUGAUGGAGGAAAUGCUAUCACUUUGACGGUACCGACAGAAUAAGCACCGGCAAACUCUGUGCCAGCCGCCGCAGUAAAAC